rnacentral:SRP_RNA from 2 species
GCUAGGUGUGGUGGCACGCACCUGUAGUCCCACCUACUGUGGAGGCUGAGGCAGGAGGAUCACUUGAGCCUAGGUGUUCUGGGCUGCAGUGAGCUGUGACCAUCAGGUGUUUGCACUAAAUUUAGCAUCAAUACAGUGAUCUCCCAGGAGCAGGGAACCACCAGGUUGCCUAAGGAGAGGUGAACCAACCCAGGUCAGAAAUGGAGCAGGUCAAAGUUCCAGGGCUGAUCAAUAGCGGGAUGGCGGCUGUGGAUAACCACUGCACUUCAGCCUGGGCAACAUAGUGAGACCCUCUUUUGU